rnacentral:tRNA from 1 species
GGUACCUGGUGAAAUGGCGACACCGGCGAAUUGAAAAUCCCCGUGUCGGCGGUUCGAUUCCGUCCCUGGGCACCACCA